rnacentral:rRNA from 1 species
UGNCAGCAUCAUAUGCUGGCUGUCAGGGUGUGUAAAAUACACCUGUUAGCAAGGGCCGGGCAAGACCGGUGCCAGCCGCCGCGGUAACACCGGCGGCCCGAGUGGUGAUCGUGAUUAUUGGGUCUAAAGGGUCCGUAGCCGGUUUGGUCAGUCCUCCGGGAAAUCUGAUAGCUCAACUAUUAGGCUUUCGGGGGAUACUGCCAGACUUGGAACCGGGAGAGGUAAGAGGUACUACAGGGGUAGGAGUGAAAUCUUGUAAUCCCUGUGGGACCCUGUGGCGAAGGCGUCUUACCAGAACGGGUUCGACGGUGAGGGACGAAAGCUGGGGGCACGAACCGGAUUAGAUACCCGGGUAGUCCCAGCCGUAAACGAUGCUCGCUAGGUGUCAGGCAUGGCGCGACCGUGUCUGGUGCCGCAGGGAAGCCGUGAAGCGA